rnacentral:rRNA from 1 species
AGUGAACGCUGGCGGCGUGGAUUAGGCAUGCAAGUCGAACGAUACCGCAAGGUAUAGUGGCAAAAGGGUGAGUAACACGCGAGCAAUCUACCUUCGAGUGGGGAAUAACACUGGGAAACCGGUGCUAAAACCGCAUAAGACCACGGCCUGGCAUCAGGCUGAGGUAAAAUGGGGGGACCAUGCGGCACUGCGCAAGCAGUGACGCGGGCCUCUAGCUUGAAGAUGAGCUCACGUCCUAUCAGCUUGUUGGCGGGGUAACGGCCCACCAAGGCUUUUGACGGGUAGCUGGUCUGAGAGGAUGGUCAGCCACAUUGGGACUGAGACACUGCCCAGACUCCUACGGGAGCAG